rnacentral:rRNA from 1 species
UGGGGAAUAUUGGGCAAUGGGCGCAAGCCUGACCCAGCAACGCCGCGUGAAGGAAGAAGGCUUUCGGGUUGUAAACUUCUUUUAUGAGGGACGAAACAGAUGACGGUACCUCAUGAAUAAGCCACGGCUAACUACGUGCC